rnacentral:snRNA from 1 species
GGAUGUGAGGGCGAUCUGGCUGCGACAUCUGUCACCCCAUUGAUCGCCAGGGUUGAUUCGGCUGAUCUGGCUGGCUAGGCGGGUGUCCCCUUCCUCCCUCACCGCUCCAUGUGCGUCCCUCCCGAAGCUGCGCGCUCGGUCGAAGAGGACGACCAUCCCCGAUAGAGGAGGACCGUUCUUCGGUCAAGGGUAUACGAGUAGCUGCGCUCCCCUGCUAGAACCUCCAAACAAGCUCUCAAAACGUAUAACUCCAAAGAAUUUGUGAAAACUCUUAGAUUAUAUCAACUCAAAGUGUAAAGAAUACCU